UUCCUGUCAAUGAUUGUUCAGCAGUUAUUUGUGAUUCUGGUGCUCUCACAAGAGGGAGGGAGCACACAUCCUUCUACUCCACCAUCCUGAAUCAAUCUGCCUUAGAUAAAGAAAAUGACUUCCACGUGGUCAGUGGAAGGACUCUGGUGUGAACCUCAUUCUUCUACCAAUCAGUCUAAGUUAUCUUCCUUCAUACUACAGUGUCAACCCAGUAAUCACCUUGGGCUGCCCCAGCACAUCGGUCAUGUGUGAAUAUCCUUGAAACUCUAUGGUGGUAGGUAUGGCACAGAGAUGGUUCAGGCUGUCAGAGUUCAAUCUCUCUUUUUUCCUCAGGAGAUGCUUUUCUUCCAAACAGAUGAUGAUGCAGGUGAGCUUGUGUGGGGAGAAUUUGCUUCUAAUUCUUCUUGUCAGAAACAAGGCACUGUUUUAAACUACGUUUUCCCACGUUGUCAUAGGUCCCAGAGAUGAACUAUGUAGUUCUAUGUGCCUUUUGGGCCUUUGCUCUGUAUGUUCUUUGACACUGCUAAAAUGUAUCAGAUUGACUUUAAACAGUAGAUUGUAAGUUUUACUAACUUGAGAAAUAAAAAAGAG